rnacentral:rRNA from 1 species
UACGGAGGGUGCAAGCGUUAAUCGGAAUUACUGGGCGCUAAAUCGUCCGUAGGUGGUUUGUUAAGUUAGAUGUGAAAGCCCUGGGCUCAACCUAGAGNNCUGCAUUUAAAACUGGCAAACUAGAGUAUAGGAGAGGAAAGUGGAAUUUCAGGUGUAGCGGUGAAAUGCGUAGAUAUCUGAAGGAACAUCAAUGGCGAAGGCAGCUUUCUGGACUAAUACUGACACUGAGGUACGAAAGCGUGGGUAGUAACAGGAUUAGAUACCCUGGUAGUCCACGCCGUAAACGAUGACAACUAGCCGUUGGGAGGAUUUACCUCUUAGUGGCGAAGCUAACGCGUUAAGUUGUCCGCCUGGGGAGUACGGCCGCAAGGUUAAAACUCAAAGGAAUUGACGGGGACCCGCACAAGCGGUGGAGCAUGUGGUUUAAUUCGAUGCAACGCGAAGAACCUUACCUGGUCUUGACAUACACGGAACUUUCCAGAGAUGGAUUGGUGCCUUCGGGAACCGUGAUACAGGUGCUGCAUGGCUGUCGUCAGCUCGUGUCGUGAGAUGUUGGGUUAAGUCCCGUAACGAGCGCAACCCUUAUCCUUAUUUGCCAGCACAUCAUGGUGGGAACUAUAAGGAGACUGCCGGUGAUAAACCGGAGGAAGGCGGGGACGACGUCAAGUCAUCAUGGCCCUUACGACCAGGGCUACACACGUGCUACAAUGGGAAGGACAAAGGGUCGCAACCUCGCGAGAGCAAGCUAAUCUCAUAAACCUUUUCGUAGUCCGGAUCGGAGUCUGCAACUCGACUCCGUGAAGUCGGAAUCGCUAGUAAUCGUAGAUCAGAACGCUACGGUGAAUACGUUCCCGGGUCUUGUACACACCGCCCGU